rnacentral:rRNA from 1 species
AACGAACGCUGGCGGCGUGCCUAAUACAUGCAAGUCGAGCGGUAAGGCCUCUUCGGAGGUACACGAGCGGCGGACGGCUGAGUAACACGUAGGAACGUACCCCAAAGUGAGGGAUAACUGCUCGAAAGAGUAGCUAAUACCGCAUGUGAGCCAUGGAUUAAAGCUCUAUGCGCUUAGGGAACGGCCUGCGUCCGAUUAGCUAGUUGGUAGUGUAAUAGACUACCAAGGCGAUGAUCGGUAGCUGGUCUGAGAGGAUGAUCAGCCAGACUGGGACUGAGACACGGCCCAGACUCCUACGGGAGGCAGCAGUAGGGAAUUUUCCACAAUGGGCGAAAGCCUGAUGGAGCAACGCCGCGUGCAGGAUGAAUGCCUUCGGGUUGUAAACUGCUUUUAUUAGUGACGAAUAUGACGGUAACUAAUGAAUAAGGACCUGCUAACUACGUGCCAGCAGCCGCCGCGGUAA